rnacentral:rRNA from 1 species
UACGUAGGGGGCAAGCGUUGUCCGGAAUCAUUGGGCGUAAAGCGCGUGUAGGCGGCCAUAAAAGUCCGCUGUGAAAACUCGAGGCUCAACUUCGAGCUGUCGGUGGAAACUUUCUGGCUAGAGUCCGGAAGAGGAGAAUGGAAUUCCUGGUGUAGCGGUGAAAUGCGCAGAUAUCAGGAAGAACACCCGUGGCGAAGGCGGUUCUCUGGGACGGUACUGACGCUGAGACGCGAAAGCGUGGGGAGCGAACAGG